GAGAGGCCAAGCCACCUCAUUAUCUACUUUACCACCUAAGCCCAGAAAGGGUGGAGCAGGCUCAAGGUCACCUGGGGAGAUUCUAGCCUCAGCUUCCCAGCAGAGGGGUCUUCUAUAGAAAGUGACCCCAAGACAGGGGGCUGUCAUGGGAGUCACAGAUUUUCACCCCAAAUUUAAGGGGGUAUCUGAGCCCUGUGUGUCCUUCCUACCCACCUCUCAGGCGCUAUUUACAUCUGAUAAACUCAAAUGGUAGUCAGAACAGAAAGGGCCUCCUCUAAGGUGACUUGCUAAGUCCUCCCCUAAGGAUGAAGGAGAGAAGCUUCCUGCCCCUGUUACACAUGGCCUCUUCCCAGGCCCAGCAGCUCACCUGGACCACAGGAAGCACCAAAAGAGCUGGCUGAAUGAAUCAAGAGAUCAAGUGCUCUCCCUGAGGCCCUAAAACAGCUCUGUGUCUGACUGCCCAGAAGGAAGCAGAAGUGAGUGACAAGUUGGGGAAAUCAGAGCUUGCACACCGUAGGCCUAAGCACUAGCCUCUGGGGAAACACAAGGCCAGCUGACCUCGGUGAAAUUAGGACCAGGGUGGAGGCCACCUCUUCUGGUUCAUCCUCCGCUAGCCUGUCAGCUUCUUUGGCUCAGCAACACCCAGAAUUCCGGGCAUGUUUGCCUCUGGCCUUCUAAAAAUACCCUGGCCGUCCAGCCCCUCCCAGAUGUCUGAGCGCUGAGUCUGUGAUUUCCCUGUCCGUAAUGGGACAGCCCCAGUGUGGUAGGCGGAGGUGG